rnacentral:rRNA from 1 species
GGCGAACGCUGGCGGCGUGCUUAACACAUGCAAGUCGAACGAUGAAGCAGAGAAACGCGCACUUCGGUUCAAAUUUCACUUCGGAUUAGUGGCAGACGGGUGAGUAACGCGUGAGCAACCUACCUCUUACAAAGGGAUAGCCUCGGGAAACCGUGAUUAAUACCAUAUGACACAUUCAUAAGGCAUCUUAAGAAUGUUAAAGCUACGGCGGUAAGAGAUGGGCUCGCGUCCCAUUAGCUAGUUGGUGAGGUAACGGCCCACCAAGGCGACGGUGGGUAACCGGGCUGAGAGGGUGAACGGUCACAUUGGAACUGAGACACGGUCCAAACUCCUACGGGAGGCAGCAGUGGGGAAUAUUGCACAAUGGAGGGAACUCUGAUGCAGCGACGCCGCGUGAGCGAUGAAGGAAUUCGUUUCGUAAAGCUCUGUUCUAUGGGAAGAAAAGGACUGUACCAUAGGAGAAAGCCCCGGCUAAAUACGUG